CUGGCGGCGUGCCUAACACAUGCAAGUCGAACGAGAAAGUGGAGCAAUCCAUGAGUAAAGUGGCGACCGGGUGAGUAACACGUGACUAACCUACCUCCGAGUGGGGAAUAACUCCGGGAAACCGGGGCUAAUGCCGCAUAACAUCGCAAGAUCAAAGCAGCAAUGCGCUUGGAGAGGGGGUCGCGGCUGAUUAGCUCGUUGGCGGGGUAACGGCCCACCAAGGCGAAGAUCGGUAUCCGGCCUGAGAGGGCGCACGGACACACUGGAACUGAAACACGGUCCAGACUCCUACGGGAGGCAGCAGUGGGGAAUUUUGCGCAAUGGGGGAAACCCUGACGCAGCAACGCCGCGUGGAGGAUGAAGCCCUUUGGGGCGUAAACUCCUUUCGACUCGGACGAUAAUGACGGUACGAGUGGAAGAAGCACCGGCUAACUCUGUGCCAGCAGCCGCGGUAAUACAGAGGGUGCGAGCGUUGUUCGGAAUUAUUGGGCGUAAAGGGCGCGUAGGCGGUGCGGUAAGUCACCUGUGAAAUCUCCCGGCUUA
rnacentral:rRNA from 1 species